rnacentral:lncRNA from 1 species
GCGGCACCCGGGACGCGCGGCUCCCCCUGGCUGCGCGGCGGCGGGGGGUGAGGGGGGCGGAGGGAUGGAGGGCGGGAGCCGCGCUGGUGAGGAGGAGCCGCCGCCGCCGCCUCAUCCUGCGGCACCGGCCGGCGGCGUGAGGAGCCCGGCGAGCGCAGGCUUUAGUCAGGUGAUCGCUGAUGACUAGUCAGCCCACCAAGAAGGGAGUUCAGCACACAGACUGAAAGGUUGUUUCAAAUGAUCACCACUUGAGAUGAUCAGGAAAUGUUCAGUUUGACUGAUGGCAUGAGAGUAGCAGUUCUGCCCUGACAUUGGUUAGGUGAAGGACUGAAGUAGGCUUUUCAUUUUAUGCAUGUGAGGAACGCUGCUGACCUCAGCAGGACUGCGCAUGCCUUCAGAGGUAAGUAAGUAAUCAUGCGUCUUGAUGAAUUAAAUGAUUUUCCUUGAGAUUGCUCCUGCAGGUUGAUAUCACUCUUGGAAAGGGGGCUUAGGCAAUCAGAUCACAAAGGCUCUAAAACACAGAGCAGUGGGGCCUGGUUGCUGCUAAAAUCUAGUCCUAAUUAUGGACCCUGCUUUCACAAAACAUUGACACAAUAGAGCUUUUUGUUCCUAUUACCAAAUAAAAGGAACAAAAUCCCUUAAUUCA